ACGCGCCGAACCUUACCUGGGCUUGACAUACACCAGACCGGGCUAGAGAUAGUCCUUCCCUUGUGGCUGGUGUACAGGUGGUGCAUGGUUGUCGUCAGCUCGUGUCGUGAGAUGUUGGGUUAAGUCCCGCAAAGAGCGCAACCCUUGUCUUAUGUUGCCAGCACGUAAUGGUGGGGACUCAUGAGAGACUGCCGGGUUAACUCGGAGGAAGGUGGGGAUGACGUCAAAUCAUCAUGCCCCUUAUGUCCAG
rnacentral:rRNA from 1 species